rnacentral:rRNA from 1 species
GAUGAACGCUGGCGGCGUGCUUAACACAUGCAAGUCGAACGAUGAAGCCCAGCUUGCUGGGUGGAUUAGUGGCGAACGGGUGAGUAACACGUGAGUAACCUGCCCUUAACUCUGGGAUAAGCCUGGGAAACUGGGUCUAAUACCGGAUAGGAGCGCCUACCGCAUGGUGGGUGUUGGAGAGAUUUAUCGGUUUUGGAUGGACUCGCGGCCUAUCAGCUUGUUGGUGAGGUAAUGGCUCACCAAGGCGACGACGGGUAGCCGGCCUGAGAGGGUGACCGGCCACACUGGGACUGAGACACGGACCAGACUCCUACGGGAGGCAGCAGUGGGGAAUAUUGCACAAUGGGCGAAAGCCUGAUGCAGCGACGCCGCGUGAGGGAUGACGGCCUUCGGGUUGUAAACCUCUUUCAGUAGGGAAGAAGCGAAAGUGACGGUACCUGCAGAAGAAGCACCGGCUAACUACGUG